rnacentral:rRNA from 1 species
UACAGAGGGUGCGAGCGUUGUUCGGAAUUAUUGGGCGUAAAGCGCGCGUAGGCGGCUUUGCAAGUCGGGUGUGAAAUCCCCAGGCUCAACCUGGGAACUGCAUUCGAGACUGCAUUGCUAGAGUAUGGGAGAGGGAAGUGGAAUUUCAGGUGUAGCGGUGAAAUGCGUAGAUAUCUGAAGGAACAUCAGUGGCGAAAGCGACUUCCUGGACCAAUACUGACGCUCAUGUGCGAAAGCGUGGGGAGCAAACAGG